rnacentral:rRNA from 1 species
UGCAGUCGACGAUGAACCACUUCGGUGGGGAUUAGUGGCGAACGGGUGAGUAACACGUGGGCAAUCUGCCCUGCACUCUGGGACAAGCCCUGGAAACGGGGUCUAAUACCGGAUACUGACCUGCCUGGGCAUCCAGGCGGUUCGAAAGCUCCGGCGGUGCAGGAUGAGCCCGCGGCCUAUCAGCUUGUUGGUGAGGUAAUGGCUCACCAAGGCGACGACGGGUAGCCGGCCUGAGAGGGCGACCGGCCACACUGGGACUGAGACACGGCCCAGACUCCUACGGGAGGCAGCAGUGGGGAAUAUUGCACAAUGGGCGCAAGCCUGAUGCAGCGACGCCGCGUGAGGGAUGACGGCCUUCGGGUUGUAAACCUCUUUCAGCAGGGAAGAAGCGAAAGUGACGGUACCUGCAGAAGAAGCGCCGGCUAACUACGUGCCAGCAGCCGCGGUAAUACGUAGGGCGCAAGCGUUGUCCGGAAUUAUUGGGCGUAAAGAGCUCGUAGGCGGCUUGUCACGUCGGUUGUGAAAGCCCGGGGCUUAACCCCGGGUCUGCAGUCGAUACGGGCAGGCUAGAGUUCGGUAGGGGAGAUCGGAAUUCCUGGUGUAGCGGUGAAAUGCGCAGAUAUCAGGAGGAACACCGGUGGCGAAGGCGGAUCUCUGGGCCGAUACUGACGCUGAGGAGCGAAAGCGUGGGGAGCGAACAGGAUUAGAUACCCUGGUAGUCCACGCCGUAAACGGUGGGCACUAGGUGUGGGCAACAUUCCACGUUGUCCGUGCCGCA